UAGGGAAUCUUCCGCAAUGGGCGAAAGCCUGACGGAGCAACGCCGCGUGAGUGAUGAAGGUCUUCGGAUCGUAAAACUCUGUUAUUAGGGAAGAACAAAUGUGUAAGUAACUAUGCACGUCUUGACGGUACCUAAUCAGAAAGCCACGGCUAACUACGUGCCAGCAGCAGCGGUAAUACGUCGGUGGCAAGCGUUAUCCGGAAUUAUUGGGCGUAAAGCGCGCGUAGGCGGUUUUUUAAGUCUGAUGUGAAAGCCCACGGCUCAACCGUGGAGGGUCAUUGGAAACUGGAAAACUUGAGUGCAGAAGAGGAAAGUGGAAUUCCAUGUGUAGCGGUGAAAUGCGCAGAGAUAUGGAGGAACACCAGUGGCGAAGGCGACUUUCUGGUCUGUAACUGACGCUGAUGUGCGAAAGCGUGGGGAUCAAACAGG
rnacentral:rRNA from 1 species